AUGACCUGUGGCUGGGGGUGAAAGGCCAAUCAAACCGGGAGAUAGCUGGUUCUCCCCGAAAGCUAUUUAGGUAGCGCCUCGUGAAUUCAUCUCCGGGGGUAGAGCACUGUUUCGGCUAGGGGGCCAUCCCGGCUUACCAACCCGAUGCAAACUGCGAAUACCGGAGAAUGUUAUCACGGGAGACACACGGCGGGUGCUAACGUCCGUCGUGAAGAGGGAAACAACCCAGACCGCCAGCUAAGGUCCCAAAGUCAUGGUUAAGUGGGAAACGAUGUGGGAAGGCCCAGACAGCCAGGAUGUUGGCUUAGAAGCAGCCAUCAUUUAAAGAAAGCGUAAUAGCUCACUGGUCGAGUCGGCCUGCGCGGAAGAUGUAACGGGGCUAAACCAUGCACCGAAGCUGCGGCAGCGACGCUUAUGCGUUGUUGGGUAGGGGAGCGUUCUGUAAGCCUGUGAAGGUGGCCUGUGAGGGU
rnacentral:rRNA from 1 species